GAGUGCGAUUAUACCAGCACUAAUGCACCGGAUCCCAUUAAAACUUCGUAGUUAAACGUGAUUGGGCGAGAGUAGUACUAGGAUGGGUGACCUCUUGGACAGUCCUCGUGUUGCACCCC
rnacentral:rRNA from 1 species